GGGUGAGUGGAGGCGAAGGAGGAGGGCUGGUCUCCACAUGGCCUCCACCGCUUGGGCUGCAGACCAGUAAGAACCUGGUUUAACUGGACCUUCGUAUUCUGGUUCUGAUCAGUACUAGAAUCCAGGUACCUGGGUGUUCACUUAAACAAGAACCUGGACUGGACUACUAACACCAGCACACUUUACAAGAAAGGUCAGAGCAGACUCCACCUGCUCAGAAAACUGAGGUCCUUCAGGGUGCAGGGAGCACUUCUGAAGACCUUUUAUGACUCUGUGGUGGCAUCAGCCAUCAUGUAUGGAGUGGUCUGCUGGAGCAGCAGCAUCAGACAGGAGGAGACUAAACAAACUGGUAAAGAAAGCCAGUUCUGUCCUGGGCUGCCCCCUUGAUCCUGUGGAGGUGGUGGGAGACAGGAGGAUGAUGACAAAGCUGUUGUCUAUCAUGGAGGACACCUCCUACCCCCAGCAGGAAACAGUAAGAUCAGUGGGCAGCUCCUUCAGUGACAGACUGCUUCACCCGCGGUGCCUAAAGGAGAGAUACCGCAGCUCCUUCCUUCCUGCUGCAGUCACUCUUUACAAUCAAGCUCCCAGUAGUUUCUGUUCACCCAUUUAUGAACUGUGCAAUAGGAAAUGUAAAUAAUGAUGAUGUGCAAUUUCAAAAAAAAAUUACUGUAAAUACUGCUUUCUUUUCUUCUUCUGAAGAAAAAUAUUUCUAUUUAUAUAUAUAUACUGUGUGCUGCACUCUUUCUUUGAUUUAAGUGUUCUAUUUGCUGCUGUACACUGUAAAUUUCCCCGCUGUGGGAUUAAUAAAGUUUUAAUCUAUCUAUCUA